rnacentral:rRNA from 1 species
CUCGAGGCCAGAUCUUUCCGGUUGAUCCCGCCGGACCUGACUGCUAUCGGAUUGAUACUAAGCCAUGCGAGUCAUUGUAGUAAUACAAGGCAGACGGCUCAGUAACGCGUAGUCAACCUAACCUAUGGACGGGAAUAACCUCGGGAAACUGAGUAUAAUGCCCGAUAGAACAUUAUGCCUGGAAUGGUUUAUGUUCCAAAUGAUUUAUCGCCGUAGGAUGGGACUGCGGCCUAUCAGUUUGUUGGUGAGGUAAUGGCCCACCAAGACUAUUACAGGUACGGGCUCUGAGAGGAGUAGCCCGGAGAUGGGUACUGAGACACGGACCCAGGCCCUAUGGGGCGCAGCAGGCGAGAAAACUUUGCAAUGUGCGAAAGCACGACAAGGUUAAUCCGAGUGGUUUCUGCUAAAGGAACCUUUUGUCGGUCCUAGAAACACCGAUGAAUAAGGGGUGGGCAAGUUCUGGUGUCAGCCGCCGCGGUAAAACCAGCACCUCAAGUGGUCAGGGUGAUUAUUGGGCCUAAAGCAUCCGUAGCCGGCUCUAUAAGUUUUCGGUUAAA